CAAGUUUACAAAUAAGGCAGAACUUCUUUUCCUGGUUUUGGUUGUUAUAGUGGAAUGAAUGGCAUUCAUCAGUCAGAAGAUUUAUAUCGUGGCCUGAAAGCAUUCAGUAUUUCCAAACCCCUCUGGCACUUGGCUUCAACAGUAAUAUAAUAUCCUAGCAACGGAGGGCACAAUAUUACCUUAAAAUGAUAUAUUACUUUUUAAAGUUACCAUUGCGCAAAUCAUCAUGCUGGCUCAGAAGUGGCUACCUUUGACUUACUGAUAUACAGGAUGCGAAAAUUACAAAUCAAAUCAAAUCACUUUUUAUUGUCACAUCACAUAUGCAGGUACAUUGGUACAGCACAUGCGAGUGAAAUUCUUGUGUGCGAGCUUCACAAGCAACAGAGUUGUGCAAAAUACAACAACAUAAACAGGCAAAAUAUACGAAUGGCUAAAUCUGAAACUAAUAAAUAUAUGUACAAUAUAUAAUAGUAUAUGCAAAAAAAAUAAAAAUUAAAAAAAAAAACUCUGGAUGUGUAUACUAAAUGUUUUUCUACGUGUGUGUGUGUGUGUGUGUGUAUACACAUAUUCUACAGCUGAAGCAGCUGAAGCAGAAAAAAAAAUCCCUCUCGCGGUUAGAAAUGAUACAUUUGAUGAACCACUUUUCCCCCACCUUUUUCCUUAGCAACUCACCCUGGUCUUCACUGGCAUUCGCCAUAUCGUCCUGCAGAGGUCAGUCAAACAUUAAGAUUUUAAAAGGUAAACUCAUGUCGUUUAAUUUAACGUCCUCUCUGAUUUUUCCCUGGUUUUUGCUUCCCUAGAGAACAUCAUUUUUCAGUACAAGUUUCUGAAAAUUUACCUGUACACGAUUUCCGAGUGUUUAAUGCCGCUGGAGAACUCCUUGCUGUAAACCGCAGCACAGUAUGGUGGUCAGAAGUGUAAUUACUGAAACUAACCACUGGAGGGCGACAUUCACUAGUAUACAAAAGAAGAGUCCAAAUCCUGUUUUACAGAACAGAUAACGAUAAUGUAAUCUUGUAAAAAUAAUAAAGUAAAAUGAGAUAAAAUGAAUAAAUAUGAUAAGAUUUUCAUUUCAACAGUUUGACAUGUCCCCGACUUUUCUAAAAACAAAACAAAAUAGCUUCUCUAACGUACG
ensembl:lncRNA